rnacentral:rRNA from 1 species
GAUGAACGCUAGCGGCAGGCUUAAUACAUGCAAGUCGAGGGACAGCACAGGUAGCAAUACUGGGUGGUAACCGGCAAACGGGUGCGGAACACGUACACAACCUUCCUUUAAGUGGGGGAUGGCCCAGAGAAAUUUGGAUUAAUACCCCGUAAUAUAGUUGAAUGGCAUCAUUUGAUUAUUAUAGCUACGGCGCUUAAUGAUGGGUGUGCGGCUGAUUAGAUAGUUGGCGGGGUAACGGCCCACCAAGUCUACGAUCAGUAGCUGAUGUGAGAGCAUGAUCAGCCACACGGGCACUGAGACACGGGCCCGACUCCUACGGGAGGCAGCAGUAAGGAAUAUUGGUCAUGGACGCAAGUCUGAACCAGCCAUGCCGCGUGAAGGAUUAAGGUCCUCUGGAUUGUAAACUUCUUUUAUUUGGGACGAAAAAGGGCCUUUCUAGGUCAACAGACGGUACCAGAUGAAUAAGCACCGGCUAACUCCGUGCCAGCCGCCGCCGUAACAC